UUAGUGCAGUUCAAGUCUGCAGACAUUUGCUCAUCUCCCGUCCUGCACACACGUGUUCACAUUUUCCGUCUGUUGCCUGCAUCACAGUCAUAGUUGUUUUCGUUACCAAUAAUAACUUGGGAGAUGUGUGCGUUUCUAUCAAACUACCCUGGCCUUAUGACUCCCAAGGGGCACAGCGUCUCAGUGCUAAAGACGUCACUACAGACACCCAUGUUCAAAUCCAGACUGUUUCUAUCAAAGUGGUCCACCUUCCCUGUGGCCGACAUGGUUGCUGUAUGGACAGCGGAGAGGACAUGGAUAUCUCGUUUGUCAUGCCACUUUACUGCCAGCUGUUAACAUUUCUUAUUUUGUAUAAUGGGUAAUUUCGGAUGGCACUACUAGCAUUGUUCAUGAAAUGCAGUCUUGGGAAAAGAGGGUGACAAAGAAGGGAGUUGCAAACACAGGAUCUGUGCUCCAGUAUUCUCCUAGGGAGUUCUUCUUUACUAUCCCCAUGAGAAAGACUGUCACCAGGAAGGUAUACAUGGUUGUCCCCCGACUCCUGGCUCUCUUCUCCUGUAGCUCCAAGGCAUAGUGAUUGGUCUCUGCUAUGUCUCCCACCACCUCCUGUCAGAAAGAACUUGAAGCACUCUGCCUCAGAUGGAAAUGGCAAGGGGUGUUGCACUCCAGACUGGGACUCAUCAAGGCAAACAGCAGGGCCAGGAGGGGUGAAAUGGCUGGCAGCCUCCCAGCAACCACAGAACUCCUGUAUUCCUUCCAUUGUCAGUCUGCCUCCAUCACCAGCAUCUGGGACUUUGUCAGUGGUCAAGGGGUCCUCAGAUUCAGUGUUCUCAAUGGCUGGGGGGCAGCUCCUCACUGUCAGAAUCUGAUUUCUGACUUUCAGACUCAUUGUCAUAAUUUUUUGUAAACCUCCAGAAUGUGCGCACUUGUGAGUUGUCUCCUUUUGAAAGACAUUACUAAUGCUACAGCUUAGUUCACUAGCUCCAUACAUAAACAACACUUAAUGGCUCAGAGUGGCAGUGAGAGGUUACGUGAUUGACUGCCUGCACAUGCCAUUUGUAUCAAUAAAUCACUAUCAGAAAAUGUUUUGUGGUAAUUAUUGAUAUUUACUGUAUUCUC